rnacentral:rRNA from 1 species
UUGAUCUCAAAUCAGGUAGGACUACCCGCUGAACUUAAGCAUAUCAAUAAGCGGAGGAAAAGAAACUAACAAGGAUUCCCCUAGUAACUGCGAGUGAAGCGGGAAGAGCUCAAAUUUAAAAUCUGGCGUGCCUCUGGCCGUCCGAGUUGUAGUCUGGAGAAGCGUCUUCCGUGUUGGACCGUGUACAAGUCUCUUGGAACAGGGCGUCAUAGAGGGUGAGAAUCCCGUCUUUGACACGGACCGCCAAUGCUUUGUGAUGCGCUCUCAAAGAGUCGAGUUGUUUGGGAAUGCAGCUCAAAACGGGUGGUAAAUUCCAUCUAAAG